GUCUGUAUGGGGAAAACAGAGUAUCAUCAGUCAGAGGCUUCUUCAGGUUUGCUGCAACACAGACAGCUACAAAAGAUCUUUCCUGCUGACAGCAAUCAGUCAUCUGCAAUAACUCUUUGAAGAAUCUGAAUUAAUGAGCUGCAACUACAUUUCAUUUCCCUUUGGGAUCAAUAAAGUCAAAGCAUGUUUGGGUAAUUCUUGCACACUACUCAAAGUUUGAUAGAAAAAAAUAUUGAACAAUUGGAAGUUAUGGUGGAAACAUUUUUGUGGUUUCAAUGAAAUGAAACAAAAAAUGUAAAAAGAUAAUGAAGUUUCGCUUUUCCUGUGCAGUUUCACCUGUUUGCAGCUCGUUUUGCUGUUUGCUGCGCGUUUGCAGUUGUCGGCCACAGUUUCUGAUCAAGUCAUUAUCUCCUCAACCUUCACCAUCAUCUGUUACAACCAGUAGAUCAGUAGAUGGACAAAGUAACCUGCUGUGUCCCCCUGUUGCAUCAGGAAACUUCAUCUUGGGAUUUCCAGCAGGAUUUUCUGAGUCCCUUCAGUCCUCUGUGUCUUCUCUCUCCUGAUUGGUCCAGUGCUGCUGGUGAUGCUGGAGAAUCAUCACAUAAUAAUACACACAUUCCUUAAUCUCUGUCUAAAUAACAGAUGAUUAAAGUGAAUUCCUGAUCAAGUCA